rnacentral:tRNA from 28 species
UUGCGGAUAUGGUUGAAUGGUAAAAUUUCUCUUUGCCAAGGAGAAGACGCGGGUUCGAUUCCCGCUAUCCGCCCACAAAAUAAC